rnacentral:rRNA from 1 species
UACGAAGGGGGCUAGCGUUGCUCGGAAUUACUGGGCGUAAAGGGCGCGUAGGCGGACAGUUUAGUCAGAGGUGAAAGCCCAGGGCUCAACCUUGGAAUUGCCUUUGAUACUGGCUGUCUUGAGUUCGGGAGAGGUGAGUGGAAUGCCGAGUGUAGAGGUGAAAUUCGUAGAUAUUCGCAAGAACACCAGUGGCGAAGGCGGCUUACUGGACCGGUUCUGACGCUGAGGCGCGAAAGCGUGGGGAGCAAACAGGG